GAUGAAGGAACGUAGCGAAAUGCGAUAAGUAGUGUGAAUUGCAGAAUUCAGUGAAUCAUCGAAUCUUUGAACGCACCUUGCGCCUUUUGGUAUUCCGAAAGGCAUGCCUGUUUGAGUGUCAUGAAAUCUCAAUCCCACCGGGUUUUGUUACCCGGUGCUGGACUUGGACCUGGGCGUCUGCCAGUCAAAUGGCUCGCCUCAAAUGACUUAGUGGGAUCUCCUAGACAUCCGCGACAGACGUAAUAAGUUUCGUCUCGUCCCUUGUCUGACCGAGCCUGCUCACAACCCGCCAUCGCGCACCUUUUUGACUCUGACCUCAAAUCAGGUAGGACUACCCGCUGAACUUAAGCAUAUCAAUAAGCGGAGGA
rnacentral:misc_RNA from 1 species